AGAAUCAACGCUGGCGGCGCGCCUAACACAUGCAAGUCGAACGAGAAAGUGGAGCAAUCCAUGAGUACAGUGGCGUACGGGUGAGUAACACGUGGAUAAUCUACCUCUUAGUGGGGAAUACCGCUGGGAAACCGGCGACAAUACCGCAUAAGCUCGAGAGAGGAAAGCAGCAAUGCGCUGAGAGAGGAGUCCGCGGCCGAUUAGCUAGUUGGUAGGGUAAUGGCCUACCAAGGCAACGAUCGGUAGCCGGCCUGAGAGGGCACACGGCCACACUGGCACUGAAACACGGGCCAGACUCCUACGGGAGGCAGCAGUGGGGAAUCUUGCACAAUGGGGGCAACCCUGAUGCAGCGACGCCGCGUGAGCGAUGAAGCCCUUCGGGGUGUAAAGCUCUUUCGGCAGGGAAGAUUAUGACGGUACCUGCAGAAGCAGCUGCGCUAACUACGUGCCAGCAGCCGCGGU
rnacentral:rRNA from 1 species